AUACGGAGGAUGCGAGCGUUAUCCGGAUUUAUUGGGUUUAAAGGGUGCGUAGGCGGACGAUUAAGUCAGCUGUGAAAUGCCCGCGCUUAACGCGGGAAGUGCAGUUGAUACUGGUUGUCUGGAGUGCCGUUGCCGUGGGGGGAAUGUGUAGUGUAGCGGUGAAAUGCAUAGAUAUUACACAGAACGCCGAUUGUGAAGACACCUCACGAAGCGGUAACUGACGCUGAGGCACGAAAGCGUGGGGAGCAAACAGGAUUAGAUACCCUGGUAGUCCACGCUGUAAACGAUGAUUACUGGUUGUUAGCGAUAUAUAGCUAGUGACUGAGCGAAAGCAUUAAGUAAUCCACCUGGGGAGUACGUCGGCAACGAUGAAACUCAAAUGAAUUAACGGGG
rnacentral:rRNA from 1 species